AGAACUAAGAAAAUAAUAGCUGGAGGGAAUCCUCUUCCUGUGUCUAAAUCCUGAAAAUCACACUGAAAUGCUGACACCUGCAGCCGUCCUGGAAAGCUGAGAACCAAUUCCUGUAGGGCAUUUGUGGAAGGGUUCAGCUUUUCCUGGUCCUCAAAGUCUGAAAUAGUAUCUUGUGGCGAUAGCAUUGAGGAAUAAGGAUGUCUGUUGGAACUAACAGGGACUGUACCAGGGGAAAGGAUUGGGCCCAGACUAGGAAGGAGUCAAGUCUGUGAAAGAAGCUUAUUGGAACAUCUCUGAGGGCAACCAACAAGGUCCAGGACAAAGCUUGUGAGGACCAGAGAUCAAAGAAUCUUGGCCAAGAACCACCACUUCUAGAAAACCGACUGGAUGAGAUAAAACUAAUCCCCAGCCUAAGUGUUUUCAGAGCAUACUUUGGUCGUCAUUUUGCAAAAGACUUCCGCAAUAACAAGACAAGGAACAACA